CCGGGAUGUUUUAGUUUAUAUCGAGCCAGUGCUAUCAAACAAGUUAUGGAUGAAUACUCGAGUCCAACACUGACCCCAUUGUCAGUUUACUAUAAAGAUACUGGUGAGGACCGAUGGAUGUCAACAUUGUUGAUGAACCGUGGGUGGAGACUGCGAAACUCAGCUUUCGCCGACAAUACCACCUACUGCCCAGACAACAUAGAGGAGUUUUUAAAACAACGCCGUCGAUGGCUUCUUUCAGACAUAGCAAAUACAUUGCAUGUUGCCCAAAAUCUGAUCCCAUUGAUGAGGAACAACGACUGCUUCACAGCUGCAUACGUCUUAUACCUAAUAAACUUGUUUAUCCUCAAUAUCGUGAACCCUGGUACAACUAUAGUAAUGAUUGCAGGUGCCCUUGAGGUUUCAUUCGAUAUUCCCUACAUCGCUACAGCAAUUCCGCUGACUAUCAUGGUUUUCAUCUAUGCCAUAAUCUGUACGCAGGCUAGCAGUAGCACACAGACUAAGCUGACGACUGUUGUGGGUGCGUUGAUGGGCUGUAUAUUUGCAUCGGCAGCUGCUACUGGGUCAUAUUGGAUAGUGGUUGAUAUGGUGCACGAUGUUUCUGUUGGUCAUUUCCAAUUGCACGAAUAUUAUAUCAUUUUAUUGAUCGUUGGAAGUUUAAUUUAUUCAGCCCUUCUCCAUCCAAUUGAGAGUUAUUUGAUAGUUUAUGCAUUAGCCUACGUGUUCAUAUUUCCGGCUACGCACGUGCUUCUACCAAUCUAUAGUGUUGCCAAUAUCAUUGACCAGAGCUG